GGAAAAGGUCUUGAGAGGCAUGGAAGGACGAAUAAAAGGACGUAAGGAGGAGAGUGGAGGUGCACCUCAGUUUAUUCAAAGGAUAUAUUUCUCACAUGGAAACAUGUCGAUGAAUGACUUAUGGAUUAUCACUGGCGUUGGGCUCCCACCAUUGGAUAAAACCCAAGGCUGACUUACGAAUGCAGUGUUCUGCUGCAGGACAUAAAAACCCUGAAAGGAAUGUGCCUUCACAACUAGGCACGCUCGGCUGGGGCGACGGAUGGAGAAGAUCUAAAUGGAGGGCAUCAACAGUGAUGAGAAGGAAAGGUUGAUGGCCAGAUCGGGAAGAGAGGGUUUGAAGCGUCCUUAAAUGCUGCCCUGAAUGUGGAAGACUUAAAGAUUCAAAGAUUUUUAUUGUCAUUUACACACGCCCUGUGUAUUGAAAUUCUUGUGCUUGCCAUUCCGGAAAGCCGACCAAUUUUAGAAUUAAAAUAAAAAUACAAUAUUUACAUAAAUGU
ensembl:lncRNA